rnacentral:rRNA from 1 species
GGCGGCAGGCCUAACACAUGCAAGUCGAGCGGGGCGGCGGACGGGUGAGUAAUGCCUAGGAAUCUGCCUGGUAGUGGGGGACAACGUUUCGAAAGGAACGCUAAUACCGCAUACUAUCAGAUGAGCCUAGGUCGGAUUAGCUAGUUGGUGAGGUAAUGGCUCACCAAGGCGACGAUCCGUAACUGGUCUGAGAGGAUGAUCAGUCACACUGGAACUGAGACACGGUCCAGACUCCUACGGGAGGCAGCAGUGGGGAGUAUUGGACAAUGGGCGAAAGCCUGAUCCAGCCAUGCCGCGUGUGUGAAGAAGGUCUUCGGAUUGUAAAGCACUUUAAGUUGGGAGGCGUUACCGACAGAAUAAGCACCGGCUAACUCUGUGCCAGCAGCCGCGGUAAUACAGAGGGUGCAAGCGUUAAUCGGAAUUACUGGGCGUAAAGCGCGCGUAGGUGGUUCGUUAAGUUGGAUGUGAAAGCCCCGGGCUCAACCUGGGAACUGCAUCCAAAACUGGCGAGCUAGAGUACGGUAGAGGGUGGUGGAAUUUCCUGUGUAGCGGUGAAAUGCGUAGAUAUAGGAAGGAACACCAGUGGCGAA